rnacentral:sRNA from 1 species
UAGAGGGUUUUGGUCUUGAUCUUCCACG